UACGAAGGGGGCUAGCGUUGCUCGGAAUCACUGGGCGUAAAGCGCACGUAGGCGGAUCUUUAAGUCAGGGGUGAAAUCCUGGAGCUCAACUCCAGAACUGCCUUUGAUACUUGGGGAUCUCGGAGUCCGGAAGAGGUGAGUGGAACUCCGAGUGUAGAGGUGAAAUUCGUAGAUAUUCGGAAGAACACCAGUGGCGAAGGCGGACUCACUGGUCCGGUACUGGACGCUGACGGUGCGAAAGCGAUGGGGAGCAAAGCUAGGGAUUA
rnacentral:rRNA from 1 species